UACGAAGGGGGCUAGCGUUGUUCGGAUUUACUGGGCGUAAAGCGCACGUAGGCGGGUCGUUAAGUCAGGGGGUGAAAUCCUGGAGCUCAACUCCAGAACUGCCUUUGAUACUGAAGAUCUCGAGUCCGGAAGAGGUUGGUGGAACUGCGAGUGUAGAGGUGAAAUUCGUAGAUAUUCGCAAGAACACCAGUGGCGAAGGCGGCCAACUGGUCCGGUACUGGACGCUGAGGUGCGAAAGCGUGGGGAGCAAACAGGG
rnacentral:rRNA from 1 species